AACGAACGCUGGCGGCAUGCCUAACACAUGCAAGUCGAACGAGACCUUCGGGUCUAGUGGCGCACGGGUGCGUAACGCGUGGGAACCUGCCCUUAGGUUCGGAAUAACUCCCCGAAAGGGGUGCUAAUACCGGAUAAUGUCUUCGGACCAAAGAUUUAUCGCCUUUGGAUGGGCCCGCGUUGGAUUAGCUAGUUGGUAGGGUAAAAGCCUACCAAGGCGACGAUCCAUAGCUGGUCUGAGAGGAUGAUCAACCACACUGGGACUGAGACACGGCCCAGACUCCUACGGGAGGCAGCAGUGGGGAAUAUUGGACAAUGGGCGAAAGCCUGAUCCAGCAAUGCCGCGUGAGUGAUGAAGGCCUUAGGGUUGUAAAGCUCUUCUACCCGGGAUGAUAAUGACAGUACCGGGAGAAUAAGCGCCGGCUAACUCCGUG
rnacentral:rRNA from 1 species